AGAGUUGUAUCCUGGCUCAGAACGAACGCUGGCGGCAUGCCUAACACAUGCAAGUCGAACGAUAAGCCACCUUCGGGUGGUGGACAGUGGCGCACGGGUGAGUAACACGUGGGGACCUGCCUGAUAGUACGGGACAACAGCUGGAAACGGCUGCUAAUACCGCAUACGCCCUUCGGGGGAAAGAUUUAUCGCUAUCAGAUGGACCCGCGCUAGAUUAGAUAGUUGGUGGGGUAAUGGCCUACCAAGUCGACGAUCUAUAACUGGUUUGAGAAGAUGAUCAGCCACAUUGGGACUGAGACACGGCCCAGACUCCUACGGGAGGCAGCAGUGGGGAAUAUUGUACAAUGGGGGCAACCCUGAUACAGCAAUGCCGCGUGAGUGAAGAAGGCCUUAGGGUUGUAAAACUCUUUCGCCAGGGAAGAUAAUGACGGUACCUGGUAAAGAAGUCCCGGCUAACUCCGUGCCAGCAGCCGCGGUAAUACGGAGGGGACUAGCGUUGUUCGGAAAUUACUGGGCGUAAAGAGUUCGUAGGCGGAUA
rnacentral:rRNA from 1 species